GACGGUUGAUUAAGUCUGAUGUGAAAGCCCGGAGCUCAACUCCGGAAUGGCAUUGGAAACUGGUUAACUUGAGUGUUGUAGAGGUAAGUGGAACUCCAUGUGUAGCGGUGGAAUGCGUAGAUAUAUGGAAGAACACCAGUGGCGAAGGCGGCUUACUGGACAACAACUGACGUUGAGGCUCGAAAGUGUGGGUAGCAAACAGGAUUAGAUACCCUGGUAGUCCACACCGUAAACGAUGAAUACUAGGUGUUAGGAGGUUUCCGCCUCUUAGUGCCGAAGCUAACGCAUUAAGUAUUCCGCCUGGGGAGUACGACCGCAAGGUUGAAACUCAAAGGAAUUGACGGGGGCCCGCACAAGCGGUGGAGCAUGUGGUUUAAUUCGAAGCAACGCGAAGAACCUUACCAGGUCUUGACAUCCUUUGAAGCUUUUAGAGAUAGAAGUGUUCUCUUCGGAGACAAAGUGACAGGUGGUGCAUGGUCGUCGUCAGCUCGUGUCGUGAGAUGUUGGGUUAAGUCCCGUAACGAGCGCAACCCUUAUUGUUAGUUGCCAGCAUUCAGUUGGGCACUCUAGCGAGACU
rnacentral:rRNA from 1 species